UCUGGCGGCUUUAGCGCGGUGGUCCCACCUGACCCCAUGCCGAACUCAGAAGUGAAACGCCGUAGCGCCGAUGGUAGUGUGGGGUCUCCCCAUG
rnacentral:rRNA from 1 species